rfam:Sporosarcina sp. HYO08 scaffold_6, whole genome shotgun sequence.
UCUAGUGCUGAUGGCGAAGAGGUCACACCCGUUCCCAUACCGAACACGGAAGUUAAGCUCUUCAGCGCCGAUGGUAGUUAGGGGCUUCCCCUUGCGAGAGUAGGACAACGCUAGGC